CGCAGUCCCCGGGAAAUAAGCAUCCGCCAUUCAUACGAGUCGAUUCCGUUGUUUCUGUGUGUUGAGCCUGGUUCGACGACGGGACAUGGUGACGGUAAUAUUUGUGGUCCCCUGAGAAAAACAUGAGCCGAUUCAACUAGCGACGUUUAAAUAAGGUGACGCGAAAAAUGCGUUGAUAGAACAUCGUAAACUGUUGUACUGAACCGCUGCUUAAUCCGUAGGCAUUGUUAGCUCGAGUUUAGUAAUAAUAUUGCUGCAGUUUUACCCACGCGAGAGAAAACGAGCUGAAAACCUGCUGCCAAGUGUUGUGUGAGAAAAUUGAUACGACGAAAAAUGCUCGUCAAAUAAUAUAAAUCUGGAUUGAUACGGCUGAAAACAGCGAACCACUAUAGUGAGAGAGAGAGCAACAGACUAUGGGGGCAUUUUUAGAUAAACCGCAAACAGACAAGUACAAUGAGCAUGGGGCUGGGAACGGUUUGCGAUAUGGAGUCGCCAGCAUGCAGGGCUGGCGGGUUGAGAUGGAGGAUGCUCACCGAGCCAUAACCGGUCUUGAGGGUGGCUUGUCGGACUGGAGUUACUUCGCCGUGUUCGAUGGCCACGCAGGUGCUCUUGUGUCUGCGCACAGCGCGGAGCAUUUGUUAGAGUCAAUAAUGCAAACGGAGGAGUUUAAGGCGGAGGAUGUAAUAAAGGGUAUUCACUCAGGCUUUUUGAGAUUAGACGACCGAAUGCGAGACUUGCCUGAGAUGAUUACAGAUAAGUCUGGCUCGACGGCUGUUUGUGCUUUCAUUUCUCCCAGGCAAAUUUAUAUCGCAAACUGCGGAGAUUCAAGGGCUGUACUGUGCCGAUCUGGUAAUCCAGUGUUCUCAACCAGAGACCACAAGCCUGUUUUACCUGCUGAGAAGGAGAGAAUCCAAAAAGCUGGAGGGAGCGUCAUGAUCCAGCGAGUUAACGGGUCGCUCGCUGUUUCUAGAGCCUUAGGAGAUUACGAGUACAAAAAUGUCGAGGGUCGUGGCCCAUGCGAACAGCUAGUCUCACCCGAACCUGAAAUAUUUGUCAGGGAAAGAGACGACGUCAAUGACGAAUUCCUGGUUUUGGCAUGCGACGGGAUUUGGGACGUUAUGACCAACGAGGAUCUCUGUGAUUUCAUUCGUUCUAGGCUACUCUUGACUGACGAUUUGGAAGCAGUCACCAACCAAGUCAUAGAUACCUGCCUAUAUAAGGGUAGCCGAGACAACAUGAGCAUAGUUUUGGUAACGUUACCUGGUGCCCCGAAGCCAAGCGCAGAGGCACAGAAGAAAGAAGCUGAAUUGGAAAUGGCCAUUGAAAGGAGGAUCAAAGAAAUAGUAACGCAGCAGGAGGGCCAGGAUGGAAUCGAUUUCCCACAGCUGCUCCAACAUCUUAUAGACCAGGAAAUGCCCAAUCUUCCACCCGGAGGUGGUCUUCCUGCCAAGCGACCAUUCAUCGAACAGGUGUUCCGGGAAGUUUGCCCCAGCAGGGCGAACAGUAUAGAAGAAGAUGAGUCAAGGAAAGUUCGAAUUAUUCGUUGCAUAUACAACUCGAUGCGUCUGCAUUCUAAACAAAGCUGAACGUAGAAAACUGAUACAAGGCCGGCCUAAGAAUUGAGCAGUAUUCCGCAGUUACAAGGAGUCAAGGACUAGUUAGUGCAUACAAUAUGUAUACCAUUUUAUACGUGUCGUAUGGAAUAAUCUGGCGAAUGAGAGAACAGCAGAUUUGAGACAUCGUCAACUACAACUAUGAUGGGUUUGCCGCAUUAAGUCACAAUUGUAUAGAACAAUAAUUAAUCAUUAAAUCACACGUUAGUCAAUACCAAACAAUAUACCUUGCAUUACAUUACACUUGUACAACUGACAAAAAAAACCUACGUUUUUAAGAGUUUACUGUAUAAAGCGGUUUAAUAUGAUACUAGCCAAGGGUGAGAUGUAUAAAUUAACUUAACACACAUGCCAGCAUAUUUAUAUGACUAAGCCAUUACCUCACAAUACCUACUUCCAUCACAGCGUAACUCAUAUUGCAGAAAAUUUUGGAUCGUAUCUCUUUACGAAGAUCCACUAUUAUGGAUAUAUCUUACUUUUAAAUUCAGGUAGUAGGAAAAUAAUGAAUUUAAUUUUCAUUUAAUUUUCAUUUAAUAUUCAUUUAAGAGUAAAGCAGCUUUCAUUAUUUCGCACUGUAAUUUCUCUCAGUUUUCAUCAUAUGAAUUUCGCGUAACUCCCUCAAUACAAAUCUGGGCCAGAUAAUUAUAGUUUUCUUCAAGCUGUACUUAAUUUAAAUUAUAUAUACACAUAUAUCGCAAUAAUUUCGAAUAUCCUCAUCCGUGUUGAAUAAAUAAAACAAUCUUGUUAGAAAAUCAAUUGAAUUAUAUGAAGUAAACUAUUGAAUCGAAAUGGAGUACUUAGAACAGUAGUAUGCAUUCACAGGCAAACUGCAUCCCAUCGAAGAUUUAAUGAAUCAGAACAUUUUUUUUUACUAAUUUUUCUUCUAAAAAGAUUUAUUGUAACAUUGAUACUCGACAGUCUUUAGUUUCAGAAUAUUCUUACUUGUUUCCAAUUCUUAUAGCUAUGAUGCGUAAUUGGGUAAUCUAAACUAUGACAAUUUCAUUAUUCUGUUGAUUUAUUCACGAAAAAAAAAAACGAUAAGAAAAAUUGCUGUAUACAAGUUGCUGUUACAGUACAAAAAUACAAUAUUCCGAAUUCAAGGGUUGGUAACGUUUUGUACUACUUUUAUACGUAUUUUCAACCAGGUACAUUUUUUAUGUAUUUUUCAUUAAUGUAACGAAACAAGAAACUUUUCACACAUGCAAACUAACCAUUCAUUCGAUUAUUAAAGAAUUAUAAAGCGUAUAAUUGAGUUUAUUAUUCAUUAAUUAUUGAUGAUCUUACCUUUGGCUACAGGUUUAGGUAUUACGUUGUAAAAAUAACUAUUGUACAAAUCAAUGUACUCUGACUACUAUAGCAUAAUUGAAAAUUAUUUACAUUUGUCUAUCGAUGAAAUUUGGAAAAAAUUUCUGUAAUGUCAUAAUGAUCUUCAGGAUGAUCAUAUAAAACUGAAAAUUAUUAUAAGUUGAAUAUCGUUUCGUAGUGAAUUAUUUCAUAAGAUUCUUCCACAAUUGCAGAAUUUGCAAUGUACAGAAUUCAUAUACCUAAGUACAUUGAUUUAAAAUUUUCAACCUGAAAUAUUUCAUAGUGAUUAGAAAUAGGCGUACAAUCUAUUGCUAGUGGAUUUGAAGGCAUUGCGCACCACAUAAAAUUUACUAAAGAACGAUAAGGAACGUUCUUAUUCAGUGAGAUGAGAAAAAAGAAGCUAUACUAAACUAACAACGCUAAUUUAGCUCUAUUUAGCAAAUUCAGCUAACAUCAUAACAAUAUUGUAGUAUAUUACCAGAAAGCUGAACUAAAGAUUCAUGGAUAUUAUCAAAUAAAUUAUCAAACGUUUAUUCAUAUAA